ensembl:lncRNA
AUCACCGCAAAUAGUUACAAAUUCCUUUUUUUUCCCUUGUGAUGAGAACUUUUAACAUCUGCUCUCUUAGCAACUUUCAAAAAUACAAUACAGGGCAGAGGAUCUUAAUAGACAUUUUCCCAAAGAAGACAUACAGAUGGCCAAUAGGCACACGAGAAGAUGCUCAACAUCACUAAUCAUCAAGAAAAGAAGUCAAAACCACAAUGAGGUAUCACCUCAUAUAUGUUAGAAUAGCUAUAGUCAAAAAGACAAGGGAUAAGUGUUGGUGAGGAUGUGGAGAAAAGAGAACCCUUGUGCACCGUUGCUGGGAAUGUAAAUUGGCGCAGCCACUAUGGAAUAUAGUAUGCAGGUUUCUCAAAAAAUUAAAAAUAGAACUACUUACCAUAUGACCCAGCCAUCCCACUGCUGGGUAUUUAUCCGAAGAAAAUGAAAUCACUAUCCCAAAGAGAUAUCUGCACCCCCGUGUUCACUGCAGCAUAAUUUACAAUGGCGAAGACACAGAAGCAACCUAGAGGUCCAUCAACGGAUGAAUGGUGUUCAACAGAGAACAUUUCCUGACAGAGACUUGAGUGAAGGGGCCAGCUCCCCCAGUGCAGUGCUGGUAGUUGGGCUGGCUCAGAAAGACCAAUGUCCUGAGGCUGUUCUCCAGGGGGCCGGCUAGAGGAACAGGCAGUGAUGGUCUCCCAGGGAUGAAUUCUAGAUGCCUCACAGCUGCUGGGAGGAACAAUGCGGCAUGGUCAGGUUGCUAUGGCCUCAGGUGUUAGUGGAGGGAAGAUUGGGGCCCCUGGGAUCCUCACCGGAAGGCCAAGUUGCUGCCCUGGAAUCUUUGGCUUCGGGAACGCUGGAGAUUUGAGGCCCGGGCAUGCACAGUGCCUCCCCCUGUUCUGGCCAGGUGGGCUCGCCCCUGCACAGCUUGUGGAUCAGAGCCUGGGGCGAGAAGCUCCCCCACUGUGACUGUAAGUGGGGCAGGCGAGGCGUUGACAGGAUUGGGGUUUGCUUGAUAGGUAGCAUGAGCCAGACUCUUUAUGGACGAGUCUGAGAUGAGCGACCACCGGCACCUGGAGCACCAGGUGUUUCUCAUUCCAGGACUCCAGUCCCACCCCCGCAGAACUCCAGCUACAUCGAGCUUCCUCUGGGUAGAGUGGACACGCAGCAGCGCUUCGGGCCUGAUUUUGCCUUCUCUGAGCUGUCCCUGACUCUCAGGGCAUCCCGACCCAUCUGCUCCCUGCCCCUCCAUCAAGACCUGCUCUUACUCCCUGCACAUACCAGAAGUCAUGUAGUGGGGGGACAACACAACCAACUUUUUUAAGUCUCAAAAGGAUGUCAAUUGAAACCUGUUAUAGACGAAAUGCACUUCCUAGAAGUCAAUUGGCCAACAUGCAGAGCUGGAGAGAACAGAUUGUGAAAAUAGGAGGCCCUAAAGAUUACAGUGAGGCAGAAUCAAGGAAAGAAGGAGAAAGCCCCAGAAUCAUGGGUGCAGACUUGUAGCAUUGGAUCAGAGAUUCUGACUUUGCCAUACUGAGAGAUUGCCAUCAGCCAAACUAGAGGAAAACAAAGCUGGACUUCCGCACUCUCAUUUCUUAGUGCUUCUCCUCAACAUCCGGGAACCUCGGCACGUCUGCAGUUGAUUUUGAAAAUUGCACUAAGUAAGAUGAAAUUUCUUGUAACCCAGAGCAGCAAAGAAGAUAUUCUGCAGCAACUAGGGGGAAAGAGUGGUUCCUUAAGUCAAUGCACAUGGGAGCCUGCUGUCCAGAGACCGGGCUGUCUUCAGGCGAUGCAGGACAGUUUUCCCGUCUCUAUUAGUCUGCUGGGGCUGUCCUAACAAAAUGCCACAGACUUGGUAGAUUAAACAGCCAUUAAAAAAAAAGAGGGGCCAGCCCUGUGGUGCAGCGGUUAAGUUUGCAGGUUUCCCUUUGGCAGCCCGGGGUUCACCGGUUCAGACCCCAGGUGUGGACAUGGCACCGCUUGUCAAGCCAUGCUAUGGCAGGUGUCCCACAUAUAAAGUAGAGGAAGAUGGGCACAGAUGUUAGCUCAGGGCCAGUCUUCCUCAGCAAAAUGAGGAGGAUUGGCGGCAGAUGUUAGCUCAGGGCUAAGCUUCCUCAAAAAAAGAGAAAUUAAUUUUUUUACAAUUCAGGAGCCUAGAAUUUCGAGAUCAAGGUGUUGACAGGGUUGGUUUCUUCUGUGGUUUUUUCUCUCUCCUUGGCUGGUAGAUGGCUGCCUUCACCCUGUGUCUUCACAUGGUCUUCUUUCUGUGCAUAUCUGUGUCCUAAUCUCCUCCUUUUAUAAGUACACCAGUAAUGUUGGGUUAGGACCCAUCCUAAUGACCUUAUUUUAAUUUAAUUACCUCUAAAGACCCUACUUCCAAAUACAGUCAUUCUGAAGUACUGGGGGUUAGGAUAUCAACAUAUAAAUUUUGGGAAAACACAACUCAGCCCAUAACACAAUAUAAUUUCCCUUAUUUGUUAGUUAUGCUUUGCCACUUAAUACUAAGGAAAACAUGCUAUUUAUUUCUGCAUAGUGUUUUCUGUAUAAUCGAAAAUAAUUCAUUAAUUUUUUUCAAUGAUUUAAAAUGGAAUCAUUUCUAUAUUACCAAAAUGGCCAUAUCUCAUUGGUAAUUUAUCAAAUUAUAUUUAUAUUCAAUAAGAUCAAUUAUUAUUUAACAAAAAUUCUUUUUUAAUGUUUUCUCUUAAGAAAAAGGAAACAUUGUAAAAAAAUUAAAAACAGCGCAUAACAACUUGAUUAAUUCCGAACUGGAAUAUGGAGGCAGUAUUUGUUUCUUUGGAGAUAGAGAUUUUUAAACAGAAAUUAACAUAUUCAAAAAGUGAAAUAAGAAUGCCGAGAGAAGAUAUUAAUAUAUUCACAUAUUUAGAAGUAAAUAAAAGCUUUGAUUGCUAUUAAAUUUUGUUUCGAGUUGCUUAGGUCCCCUCCAAAGGAAGUAGAAACUCGUUUUUUCUUUUUUCACCGCAGCCUGAGACUAAUAAAAAUUCAUUUUAAUUAGCAAGAAUACAUUACUGUAUUUUCAGUUACAGAUGCAAAUGCAUGCCCACAGUUUGAAGCUGUAUGAAAACUUUAUAUUCUUCUUUAAAUUUUUCUUAGUUAUAUAAAACUCCUUUAUUCACAGUGAACAUGACUAUAUUUCUUUAAUGAGAUUGAGCAGAUG